rnacentral:rRNA from 1 species
AGAGUUUGAUCCUGGCUCAGAAUCAACGCUGGCGGCGCGCUUAACACAUGCAAGUCGAGCGAGAAAGUGGAGCAAUCCAUGAGUACAGCGGCGUACGGGUGAGUAACACGUGGGUGAUCUGCCUCUUAGUGGGGAAUAACCCUGGGAAACCGGGGCUAAUACCGCAUAAUCCUGUGAAGGGAAAGCAGCAAUGCGCUGAGAGAGGAGCCCGCGGCCGAUUAGCUAGUUGGUGAGGUAACGGCCCACCAAGGCGACGAUCGGUAGCCGGCCUGAGAGGGCACACGGCCACACUGGCACUGAAACACGGGCCAGACUCCUACGGGAGGCAGCAGUGGGGAAUCUUGCACAAUGGAGGCAACUCUGAUGCAGCGACGCCGCGUGAGCGAUGAAGCCCUUCGGGGUGUAAAGCUCUUUCGGCAGGGACGAUAAUGACGGUACCUGAAGAAGAAGCUGCGGCUAACUACGUGCCAGCAGCCGCGGUAAUACGUAGGCAGCGAGCGUUGUUCGGAAUUACUGGGCGUAAAGAGUGUGUAGGCGGUGCUCUAAGUUCGGUGUGAAAUCUCCUGGCUUAACUGGGAGGGUGCGCCGGAAACUGGAGUGCUCGAGCGUGGGAGAGGAAAGCGGAAUUCCUGGUGUAGCGGUGAAAUGCGUAGAUAUCAGGAGGAACACCUGUGGUGUAGACGGCUUUCUGGACCAUUGCUGACGCUGAGACACGAAAGCGUGGGUAGCAAACAGGAUUAGAUACCCUAGUAGUCC